rnacentral:rRNA from 1 species
AGCAGCCGCGGUAAUUCCAGCUCCAAUAGCGUAUAUUAAAGUUGUUGCAGUUAAAAAGCUCGUAGUUGAAUUUCGAGAUCAAAUUGUUGGUCGUGCCUUGGUACGCACUGGCAUUAUUGGUUUCUCCCUUCUGAAGAACCAUGAUGUCAUUAAUUUGGUGUCAUGGGGAAUCAGGACUGUUACUUUGAAAAAUUAGAGUGUUUAAAGCAGGCUCGCGCUUGAAUACAUUAGCAUGGAAUAAUGAAAUAGGACGUUUGAUUCUAUUUUGUUGGUUUCUAGGAUCGACGUAAUGAUUAAUAGGAUAGGUUGGGGCAUUAGUAUUCAAUUGU